GAUGAAUGCUGGCGGCGCGCUUAACACAUGCAAGUCGAGCGAGAACCAGGCCUUCGGGCUUGGGGAAAGCGGCGAACGGGUGAGUAACACGUGGGUAAUCUGCCCUCGGCACUGGGAUAGCCCGGGGAAACCCGGAUUAAUACCGGAUAGCCUUUCGAGCCUUCGGGCUCGGCAGAAAAGGUGGCUUCGGCUUCCGGCUGCGGAUGAGCCCGCGGCGGAUUAGCUUGUUGGUGGGGUAAUGGCCCACCAAGGCUGCGAUCCGUAGCUGGUCUGAGAGGACGAUCAGCCACACUGGGACUGAGACACGGCCCAGACUCCUACGGGAGGCAGCAGUGGGGAAUCUUGCGCAAUGGGCGAAAGCCUGACGCAGCGACGCCGCGUGCGGGAAGAAGGCCUUCGGGUUGUAAACCGCUUUCAGGAGGGACGAAGCCACUCGGGUUAAUAGCCCAGAGGGUGACGGUACCUCCAGAAGAAGCCCCGGCUAACUACGUGCCAGCAGCCGCCGUAA
rnacentral:rRNA from 1 species